rnacentral:rRNA from 1 species
AAUCAACGCUGGCGGCGUGCCUAACACAUGCAAGUCGAACGCGAAAGCCCCGCAAGGGGUAAGUAGAGUGGCAAACGGGUGAGUAACACGUGGGUGACCUGCCUUCGAGUGGGGGAUAACGUCCCGAAAGGGACGCUAAUACCGCAUAACAUCCUGCCUUUUAAGAGGUGGACAUCAAAGCUGGGGAUCGCAAGACCUAGCGCUUGAAGAGGGGCCCGCGCCUGAUUAGCUAGUUGGGGGGUAAUGGCUCACCAAGGCAACGAUCAGUAUCCGGCCUGAGAGGGCGGACGGACACACUGGGACUGAGAUACGGGCCCGACUCCUACGGGAGGCAGCAGUAAGGAAUAUUGGUCAAUGGACGCAAGUCUGAACCAGCCAUGCCGCGUGCAGGAUGAAGGCCCUCUGGGUCGUAAACUGCUUUUAUCAGGGAAGAAAUUCACUUUGUUUCUACGAGUGUUGACGGUACCUGAGGAAUAAGCACCGGCUAACUCCGUG